AUUGUAGGAAAAAAAAUAAUGUUACAGACCCGGGAGAGAGGGGUAAUAUUCAGAGAAAAAAACCCAGAAUUUCUAAGAUUAAAGUCACAAAUUUACGGAAAAAGAACUGGAUAUUCUCUGAGAUUAAAGUGGUAAAUAUGGAAUUGGAAUGAAUUACUUCUCUGCAGUUUUUACACUUUGAAGUCAUCCAGUGGGCCUGAUUGGACCCUUUGGCGGGCCGGUUCUGGCCCACGGGCCGUAUGUUUGACACCACUGCCAUAACACACACACAC